CCUACGGGUGGCAGCAGUGGGGAAUAUUGGACAAUGGGGGGAACCCUGAUCCAGCCAUGCCGCGUGUGUGAAGAAGGCCCUCGGGUUGUAAAGCACUUUCAGUGAGGAAGAACGCCUGGUGGUUAAUACCCAUCAGGAAAGACAUCACUCACAGAAGAAGCACCGGCUAACUCCGUGCCAGCAGCCGCGGUAAUACGGAGGGUGCGAGCGUUAAUCGGAAUUACUGGGCGUAAAGCGCGCGUAGGUGGCUUGAUAAGCCGGGUGUGAAAGCCCCGGGCUCAACCUGGGAACGGCAUCCGGAACUGUCAAGCUAGAGUGCAGGAGAGGAGGGUAGAAUUCCCGGUGUAGCGGUGAAAUGCGUAGAGAUUGGGAGGAAUACCAGUGGCGAAGGCGGCCUUCUGGACUGAAACUGACACUGAGGUGCGAAAGCGUGGGUAGCAAACAGGAUUAGAUACCCGAGUAGUC
rnacentral:rRNA from 1 species